UCUGUUGUUCCUUUUUUCAUUCUGUGACUCAUGAGCAGCCCUUUUCUACGACGAAAAAUGCAUGCUACGUUACUCAAGUAACAUAGAAAGCAUGCAGCAAGAAGCUCAAACGUUUCGAAUUCGAAUCAAAGGAUACAUGGACUUGCUCAGAGCACACCAGAUUUGCCCAGUAACCAUUGUGGAAAGUUCAGCUCCAGAAUUUGAUAUCGGACUGUCAUUCUCACUGUUGUGGGCCUUGUGGCAAUUGCUGUUGCUUUGAUAUCCGUAUGCAUUUAUUUGAUGUGAGAGUUAAAUAUAACGUUGUACAUUCAUGACAUUACAGCAAUCGUUGCCGUAGUGGGAUUGAUUUACAAUUCCUAGUUUGUAGGAUAUUCGGAGUUCAAAUCCCGUUGGGAUCAAUCUUUUCUGAAAAUAUUCAUCAAGUUUGUUUUGACUGUGAAACGGGACUGGGUCUUUUGACUGAGCAUUAUUUUAAAUAAAUUAGAAGGGGAGUGGUUGAAGAAAGCCCAGAAGUUUGAAAGGUCUUCGCCGCCGCGGUUGACAUCUACGGAGUGAUGGGCGUUGAAUUUUUCUUCAUCUGGGGAUCUAGAAAGAUUUUUAUUUUUAUUUUUAUUUUUUAUUUUGAUCCAUGGCUAAAAGUACUAAAACCCUGUAAAGAAGACUGUAGAUACCGCUUCCAGAGCCCUUGGGCAGCUGCCUGUCUGAUUAAUGGCGUGUUUGUUUGCUCGAAUGACUGAUCUCGUAAACGACACGGGAGUAGUUGUUCAGAUACGAGAGGUCGAGGGUGAUGAUGAUGGGAAAGGCGAACUAUUUGCUACGCUGCAAAUUGGGGAUCGCACAGUUAUCAGGGGGAUGAGAUUUUUGGAUCGAAUGGCUGAUUUGGGCCCCAGAAGCAUUCAUGUCACUGCGAUACUUGCUGCUGGUACCACCACGUUGAUCUUUGCAGCGCAGUAUUUCGCUGCCUACGGACGGGUCGUCUUUCGGCUACAUAACCAACAACUGGUGGAUGAGCCAGAAGAGAUGUCCGGAAUCCGCCGCAUGAGGCCGGUUAGGUUCUUAGCAUGUGUUUGUGCAAAUCAUCAAAACGGCCGGCGCGGAUCAUGAGUAAUAUUCAUCGGGCGUGAUGACAUUGACUAUGCUGUUUUUGGGGGUGUAAUGUUUUAUGAAAGCACUUCGAAUGAAGAUCUUCUGGUUGAAUUAAGCCGGGUUCAAUUAAAUAAUAUUGAGGAUCUGGAAGGAGUUUGGUUUAUGGUCUCGAGGAAUCAAAUUGAGCAUGCUUGUUAAUCCGUAAUUGGAUUGGAAUCCGAUUAUGGGCACAUCGCUUUAUGGUGUAUUAGAGUAUCUCUAAGGGAGAUGUCAAAUACCAAACAUUAAAUUUAAAUUUGAUGGCUGAUAUGGCAAUUUGACAUUUACACAGUUUUACACUCCA